rnacentral:rRNA from 1 species
CAAUAAGCGAGAAAGAAACUAACAAGGAUUCCCCUAGUAACGGCGAAGUGAAGCGGGAUGAGCUCAAAUUUAAAAUCUGGCUGGUUUACUAGUCCGAAUUGUAGUUUAUAGAAGCGUUUUCGGUGGCAGCCUGGGUAUAAAUCCUUUGGAAUAGGGUAUCAUAGAGGGUGAGAAUCCCGUCUUUGACUCAGUGCAUGCUACUAUGUGAUACGUUUUCAAAGAGUCGAGUUGUUUGGGAAUGCAGCUCAAAAUGGGUGGUAAAUUUCAUCUAAGGCUAAAUAUUGGCGAGAGACCGAUAGCGAACAAGUACCGUGAGGGAAAGAUGAAAAGAACUUUGAAAAGAGAGUUAAACAGUGCGUGAAAUUGUUGAAAGGGAAACGCUUGACACCAGUCAUGCGAGUGGAAAAUCAGUCUUUUGCAGUGAGGAGUUGUGGGCGUUCAGACCGCAAGGCUGGCGUUUGCUUGAUUUUUGCUGUAAGUGAUGCACUUUUUCAUUUGCAGGUCAACAUCAGUUUGUUUUGCUGGACAAAACCCCAAGGGAAGGUGGCAGCUUAGGCUGUGUUAUAGCCCUGGGGCGAUACAGUGGAAUGGACUGAGGUUUUUGCAGUGUGUGCUUUCGGGCAAGGCCGACUGGGUGCUAUGGGAUCGUUCGGCGUACAAUGCUUGCAUUUUGCGUCGUGUCUUUUUUAUACUCGCUCAACUCGGCUCUUCCACACUUAGGAUGUUGACUUAAUGGUUUUAAUCGACCCGUCUUGAAACACGGACCAAGGAGUCUAACAUAUAUGCAAGUGUUUGGGUGGCAAACCCAUGCGCGUAAUGAAAGUGAACGUAGGUGCGAUCCGCAAGGUGCAGCAUCGACCGAUCUUGAUAUUUUUGGAUAGAUUUGAGUAAGAGCAUAUAUGCUGGGACCCGAAAGAUGGUGAACUAUGCCUGAAUAGGGUGAAGCCAGAGGAAACUCUGGUGGAGGCUCGUAGCGAUUCUGACGUGCAAAUCGAUCGUCAAAUUUGGGUAUAGGGGCGAAAGACUAAUCGAACCAUCUAGUAGCUGGUCUG